rnacentral:rRNA from 1 species
CCAAUAGCGUAUAUUAAAGUUGUUGCAGUUAAAAAGCUCGUAGUUGAAUUUCGGGAUCAAUAUGUUGGUCGUGCCUUGGUACGUACUAGCUUAUUGAUUUCUUCCUUCUGACGAACCAUGAUGUCAUUAAUUUGGUGUCAUGGGGAAUCAGGACUGUUACUUUGAAAAAAUUAGAGUGUUUAAAGCAGGCUCACGCUUGAAUACAUUAGCAUGGAAUAAUGAAAUAGGACGUUUGAUUCUAUUUUGUUGGUUUCUAGGAUCGACGUAAUGAUUAAUAGGGAUAGUUGGGGGCAUUAGUAUUCAAUUGUCAGAGGUGAAAUUCUUGGAUUUAUUGAAGACUAACUACUGCGAAAGCAUUUGCCAAGGAUGUUUUCAUUAAUCAAGAACGAAAGUUAGGGGAUCGAAGACGAUCAGAUACCGUCGUAGUCUUAACCAUAAACUAUGCCGACUAGGGAUCGGAUGAUGUUAAUUUUUUAAUGACUCAUUCGGCGCCUUACG